GACUAUCGGUAAUGGAUAUCUUGGCUCUCCAAUCGAUGAAGAACGUAGCAAAAUGUGAUACUUGGUGUGAAUUGCAGAAUCCUGUGGACCAUCAAGUCUUUGAACUUAAGUUGUGCCCUAGGCCAUUGGGAUGAGGGCAUGCCUACCUGGGCAUCA